GACGAACCGUGCGAACGUUGUUCGGAGUUACUGGGCGUAAAGGGCGCGUAGGCGGCGCAUCAAGUCAGGCGUGAAAGCCCUGGGCUCAACCCGGGAAUUGCGCUUGAGACUGGUGUGCUUGAGUACGGGAGAGGAUAGUGGAAUUCCCAGUGUAGAGGUGAAAUUCGUAGAUAUUGGGAAGAACACCAGUGGCGAAGGCGGCUAUCUGGACCGUAACUGACGCUGAGGCGCGAAAGCGUGGGGAGCAAACAGG
rnacentral:rRNA from 1 species